rnacentral:rRNA from 1 species
UGGGGAAUCUUGCACAAUGGGGGAAACCCUGAUGCAGCGACGCCGCGUGAACGAUGAAGCCCUUCGGGGUGUAAAGUUCUUUCGACAGGAACGAUAAUGGCGGUACCUGGAGAAGAAGCUGCGGCUAACUACGUGCCAGCAGCCGCGGUAAUACGUAGGCAGCGAGCGUUGUUCGGAGUUACUGGGCGUAAAGAGUGCGUAGGCGGCGAGCCAAGUUUGGUGUGAAAUCUCCCGGCUUAACCGGGAGGGUGCGCCGAAAACUGGUUGGCUGGAGUAUGGGAGAGGAUAGCGGAAUUCCUGGUGUAGCGGUGAAAUGCGUAGAUAUCAGGAGGAACACCUGCGGUGUAGACAGCUUUCUGGACCAAAACUGACGCUGAGGCACGAAAGCGUGGGUAGCAAACA